rnacentral:rRNA from 1 species
GGCAGACGGGUGAGUAAUGCAUAGGAAUCUACCUAGUAGUAUAGGAUAGCCACUAGAAAUGGUGGGUAAUACUGUAUAAUCCCUGCGGGGGAAAGAUUUAUCGCUACUAGAUGAGCCUAUGUCAGAUUAGCUAGUUGGUGGGGUAAUGGCCCACCAAGGCUGUGAUCUGUAGCUGGUCUGAGAGGAUGAUCAGCCACACUGGAACUGAGACACGGUCCAGACUCCUACGGGAGGCAGCAGUGGGGAAUAUUGGACAAUGGGCGCAAGCCUGAUCCAGCUAUGCCGCGUGAGUGAGGAAGGCCUUAGGGUUGUAAAACUCUUUCAGUAGGGAAGAUAAUGACGGUACCUACAGAAGAAGUCCCGGCAAACUCCGUGCCAGCAGCCGCGGUAAUACGGAGGGGGCAAGCGUUGUUCGGAAUUAUUGGGCGUAAAGGGCAUGUAGGCGGUUUGGUAAGUUAAAGGUGAAAUACCAGGGCUUAACCCUGGGGCUGCUUUUAAUACUGCAGGACU